rnacentral:tRNA from 1 species
UCCCUGGUGGUCUAGUGGUUAGGACCCAGCGCUUUGACUGCUGCGGCCCGGGUUCAACGUCUGGUCUGGGAA